rnacentral:pre_miRNA from 1 species
UAUAAUUUUUGACUCUUCGUCUUAUUCAAAAUUUUUUUGCGAUUGAUAUUUUUAUUUUUAUUAAAAGAUAAAUCAUGAAUAGUACUUUACAUGUGACUAAUUUUUUUCUAAUUUUCUGAAAAAAUUUUAAAUAAGACGGAUGGUCAAACGUUAGACACGAAAACU